GUCUACAUUAGACUACCCCGUAGUCCCAGCCGUAAACUAUGGCGCGUUAGGUGUAUCGGUGACCACGAGUCACCGAGGUGCCGAAGGGAAACCGUGAAACGUGCCGCCUGGGAAGUACGGUCGCAAGGCUGAAACUUAAAGGAAUUGGCGGGGAGCACCACAACGGGUGGAGCCUGCGGUUUAAUUGGACUCAACGCCGGGAAAGCUCACCGGAUAAGACAGCGGAAUGAUUGCCGGGCUGAAGACUCUGCAUGACUAGCUG
rnacentral:rRNA from 1 species